AUUGAACGCUGGCGGAAUGCUUUACACAUGCAAGUCGAACGGCAGCACGGGGGCAACCCUGGUGGCGAGUGGCGAACGGGUGAGUAAUACAUCGGAACGUGCCCAGUCGUGGGGGAUAACGUAGCGAAAGUUACGCUAAUACCGCAUAUGAUCUACGGAUGAAAGCGGGGGACCGUAAGGCCUCGCGCGAUUGGAGCGGCCGAUGUCAGAUUAGGUAGUUGGUGAGGUAAGGGCUCACCAAGCCGACGAUCUGUAGCUGGUCUGAGAGGACGACCAGCCACACUGGGACUGAGACACGGCCCAGACUCCUACGGGAGGCAGCAGUGGGGAAUUUUGGACAAUGGGCGCAAGCCUGAUCCAGCCAUUCCGCGUGCAGGACGAAGGCCUUCGGGUUGUAAAGCCCUUUUGUUGGGAAAGAAAUCCAGCCGGCUAAUACCUGGUUGGGAUGACGGUACCCAAAGAAUAAGCACCGGCUAACUUCGUGCCAGCCGCCGCCGUAA
rnacentral:rRNA from 1 species